GACGAACGCUGGCGGCGUGCUUAACACAUGCAAGUCGAACGAAGUGGCGAACGGGUGAGUAAUACGUGGGUAACCUGCCCUCCUUUUUGGGAUAAGCCUUGGAAACGGGGUCUAAUACCGAAUAAAGGGGGAUGGGCUCGCGGGCUAUCGGCUUGUUGGUUGGGUGAUGGCCUACCAAGGCGGUGACGGGUAGCCGGCCUGAGAGGGUGACCGGCGACAUUUGGACUGAGAUACGGCCCAGACUCCGACGUGAGGCAGCAGUGGGGAAUUUUGGACAAUGGGGGAAACCCUGAGCCAGCCAUCCCGCUUGUAUGAUGAAGGCCUUCGGGUUGUAAAGUACUUUUGGCAGAGAAGCGUUACCGACAGAAGAAGCACCGGCGAACUCCGUGCCAGCAGCCGCGGUAAUAC
rnacentral:rRNA from 1 species